rnacentral:rRNA from 1 species
UACGUAGGUGGCAAGCGUUAUCCGGAUUUAUUGGGCGUAAAGGGAACGCAGGCGGUCUUUUAAGUCUGAUGUGAAAGCCUUCGGCUCAACCGGAGAAUUGCAUCAGAAACUGUUGAACUUGAGUGCAGAAGAGGAGAGUGGAACUCCAUGUGUAGCGGUGGAAUGCGUAGAUAUAUGGAAGAACACCAGUGGCGAAAGCGGCUCUCUGGUCUGUAACUGACGCUGAGGUUCGAAAGCGUGGGUAGCAAACAGG